rnacentral:rRNA from 1 species
CCCUUAGAUGUUCUGGGCUGCACGCGUGCUACAAUGGCGUUUCCAGCAAGUCUGCGAACCCGAGAGGGCCAGCGGAUCUUCGAAUUGGUGUCGUGAUCGGGACAGUCGAUUGCAAUUAUUUGACUCAAACGAGGAAUUCCUUGUAAUCGCGAUUCAUCAUAUCGCGCUGAAUACGUCCCUGCCCUUUGUACACACCGCCCGUCGCUCCUACCGAUUGAGCGAUCCGGUAAAUGUUUUGGAUUGGUGCCGGGGCGGCUAGCUGCCGGUCGCUACGAAAUUUUGUGAACCUUAUCGCUUAGAGGAAGGAAAAGUCGUAACA